CUACACAUGCGGUGCAAGGGGUACAGGGAAAGCUUGCUUUCCGCUGACGACCGGCGCACGGGUGCGUAACGCGUAUACAACUUGCCUCUAACAGGAGAAUAGCCCGGAGAAAUUCGGAUUAAUGCUCCAUAGCACAUUACUUUCGCAUGUUAGUAAUGUUAAAGCUCAGGCGGUUAGAGAUGGGUAUGCGUCCUAUUAGCUAGUUGGUGAGGUAACGGCUCACCAAGGCGACGAUGGGUAGGGGGCCUGAGAGGGUGGUCCCCCACACUGGUACUGAGACACGGACCAGACUCCUACGGGAGGCAGCAGUGAGGAAUAUUGGUCAAUGGAGGCAACUCUGAACCAGCCAUGCCGCGUGAAGGAUGACGGCCCUAUGGGUUGUAAACUUCUUUUAUAUGGGAAGAAACUUAUCUACGUGUAGAUAACUGACGGUACCAUACGAAUAAGGAUCGGCUAACUCCGUGCCAGCAGCCGCGGUAAUACGGAGGAUCCAAGCGUUAUCCGGAUUCAUUGGGUUUAAAGGGUCCGUAAGCGGAUUUUUACGUCAGAGGUGAAAGCCGACAGCUCAACUGUCGAAAUGCCAUUGAUACUGGAGAUCUUGAGUACACAUGAAGUAAGCGG
rnacentral:rRNA from 1 species